rnacentral:lncRNA from 1 species
UGGAGGUAAGGAGGAUAGUGGCACUGGCAGAAUGCUGAUGAUGCUUGUAGUCACAGGUGUGCCAUUCUAAAGCACCAUCUAUUUGACUUGUUAUAUAACUUCUAAGAAGAAAUAGCCAUUUGAAAAAAAAAGAAGAAAAUGUUAGAUAUUGCUAAAAUUGCCCUGACAUAUUCCACACACACAGUUUGAUAAAUAUUUUAUUGUUAUUCCAGGAAAAGCUUUUAAAGGAAUACAGAAGCCAGCAAUUAUGGGGAAGGGAUGUCUCCUUCUCUGAGAUAGUAGGAAUGUCAGCUCUUUGCUGCUAAGGAGAGAAAGGACAGAUUCACAAUGCCAUGAUAGCUGAAAUGUACACACACCCACCAAAAGGGCCGGAGUCCCAAGCAGCUCAUCUUACUUUACUUGUUAACAGCAGAAACCAUGCACAAAUAUCCUGAUGCAGCGUUCUAUGUGACUUGAAUAAAUGAGGGACAUUCAACCUGU